rnacentral:sRNA from 1 species
UGACAGUAUAAACAUAGCCACUUCAAAAGC